UUCGUCCAAUGGAAGCAGAGGAAAGUGGCGGACGGGUGAGUAACGCGUGAGGAACCUGCCUUGAAGAGGGGGAUAACGAUUGGAAACGAUCGCUAAUACCGCAUGACAUAGCGGAACCGCAUGGUUCUGCUAUCAAAGAUUUUAUCGCUGAUAGAUGGGCUCGCGUCCGAUUAGAUAGUUGGUGGGGUAACGGCCUACCAAGUCGACGAUCAGUAGCCGGACUGAGAGGUUGAACGGCCACAUUGGGACUGAGACACGGCCCAGACUCC
rnacentral:rRNA from 1 species